ensembl:lncRNA
AUUCUUUUUCUUACAGGAAUUUUCAUAGGCUACUCACACUUUUCACAUUACAAAAUAGAAUAGUGCAUAAGACACACUCAACUCUGUUUCUGGAGGCUUUUGGUCUUGGAUUCUCAGCUAAUGAGCUGAUGAGUUGAAUCAGCUGUGUUCAGUUAGGAAGAGCUGGAUAAUGUGCAGUGUUGGUGUGCCUCCAGGAACAGGGUUGGAAACACUGCCUUAAAUUGUUGACUAUCAAGAAUUAAGAUGUAUUUGAAAGAGAGUCACAAUAAGCACACAUCCUCUGGAGCGGCUCCAGUGAAGGUCACCUCAUCCACGCAGCCGUGUGAGCGAUGAGUCCUGCAGAGGAGAGCACUGCCACCGGCAUCGGCCAUCCACAACCCCAGCGCAGGCCUGCAUCGCCACCGCAGGUGGGAGCAGCAGAUGCGCGCCGCCGCUAAUGGCUCCGGGGCCGACUAUGAGAGAAAGCCACCAAGCAUGGAGGCGGAGCAGAUGGGCCCGAGACUUACAGAUAAUGCUCGAGACAGGGUUUGGACGGCGCCGUCUGGUUCCCUUGGAUUUGGCGGCUGUGUGUUUGUUGCUAUUUUUAUUCAGCAAGGACACAUUAAAUUGAUUAAAAGUUGCAGCAAAAGCAUUCACGCUUCUAUUUAAAAUGAUUUUAAACCUUUUUUUUAUCCAUCAAAG